rnacentral:rRNA from 1 species
UGUAAGGAGGCGUCCGGUGACAAACCGGAGGAAAGGGGGGGAAGACGUCAAGUCAUCAUGGCCCUUACGGCCAGGGCUACACACGUGCUACAAUGGUCGGUACAAAGGGUUGACAAGCCGCGAGGUGGAGCUAAUCCCAUAAAACCGAUCGUAGCGCGGAUCGCAGUCUGCAACUCGACUGCGUGAAGGUCCGGAAUCGCUAGUAAAUCGUAAAUCAAGAAAUUCCUUGGGGUCCCG